rnacentral:lncRNA from 1 species
AGCGAGCUACUUGGGAGGCUGAGACUGGAGAAUUGCUUGAACCCACAAGGCAGAGGUUGAAGUGAGCCAGGAUCGCGACACUUCACCCCAGUGUGGGUGACAGAGCAAGACUCUGUCUAAAAAAAAAAAAGAAAAAUGAAAUACUGGUAUUGACAUAUUUAGAACAAUUGCCUACACAGAACCAUAUUCAUUCAUUUAAACAAUACUUAUAGAGUGUCUAAUAUAUGUGAGGCAGCAGUGAUUGUAAUCAGUGCUUUGAACAAAAUACACAAAAUAAGGUAAUAUUUCCCUAAUGAGUUGGCUUUUGAACAGAGACAUCAAGGACGUGGGGAGGAGGCAUUGUGACCAUCGGGGAAGGAUAUGCUAAACAGGCUGGGCGUGGUGGCUCACGCCUGUAAUCCCAGCACUUUGGAAGG